rnacentral:lncRNA from 1 species
CCACCUGAGGCGUUGUGAGUCCUGGCUGCUCCAGGAGGAAGGAGGGAAGCAGGAGAGCCGCUGGGAAGGUGCUAUAGUGACCCAGACGAGAGAAGAGGUGGGUCUGGUGCAGGGUGGUGGCUGUGGGGGCCAAGGCAGGGAGAAGAAGCUGGAUUCCGGAGGUGUUGGAAUGGCAGGGCCCAGGACUCGUUGGCACAGCGUCAUCUUACCUGCUUCCCUAGGAUUUUCGUUCGAUCCCAUGACCUAAAAGGCCGGCAAGACUCACAGGGGAGCCGGCUCUCGUGAUAUGGACCUUACCGGCCUGGUUACGCUGUCCUCAUCCCAGCACCCUCGAAUUCACUGAGAGGGAGUAUGUCCUCUGUCAAGAUAUGAGCGGUGGAGAAACACACCCCCCGCCCCUGCUUCCCACAGAAAGCCAGUCUCCCCAAAAGCCCGUCCCCACUUGGAUCCUUUUUUAUUACUCUCGGGAAAGUGGUGUGAAAAUUUGAUAAGGCAAGACAUCAAAGUUCUGGUGUAGUCAGAGAGGGCUCUCACUUGCUGAUAAUGUGCAGAUACGCCGGGUCCAAAAGCACUUUCUUACAGCUUCGGGGUUGCUGCUCAGUCCUGGAGUGCCGAAGCACCCACUGAGUCAGCUCGCUCCCAACCACUCCGCCUUCCAGAACAUCAUCACCGCAAAUCUGCUGUGCAAUGCUGAUUUCUGAGAUCAUCCCCCAGGUGAAAAUGAACCAUCCCUCGGGACUGGGGUGGGAUAGGACGUUGUCUCCACAACCACGGCAAUAAUGAUGGCCCAUGGCAGACACCUGGGCUCUCCCAGGUAGAUGGUCAUUUUCUUAGGAACACAGGUGUUCCAAGUGUGACAUGUGCGAAGGAUUCUCCUCUUGGUUCAGUCCUGCCACAAGAAUCUCAUUACCAGAUGUUGCCAUGUUUCCAACCUUUAAAUCUCUCCUUUGGAAUAUAGGAGCCUGGGUUUUGCCUCUAAAUAAAUGAGGCCCUCGGGGGCAUCCCAUGGGGAUGAGGAUGAAACAAGCCUGGCCAUGAGUUGGUAAUUGUCAUCGUUGAAUUGUGUGAUGGGUACACAGCAUGCACUAAACUAGUCUUUCUACUUUUUAUGUAUUUGAAAUUUUCUGUAAUAAAUUUUUAACCAUCCUUAG